GACGAACGCUGGCGGCGUGCUUAACACAUGCAAGUCGAACGGAAAGGCCCUGCUUUUGUGGGGUGCUCGAGUGGCGAACGGGUGAGUAACACGUGAGUAACCUGCCCUUGACUUUGGGAUAACUUCAGGAAACUGGGGCUAAUACCGGAUAGGAGCUCCUGCUGCAUGGUGGGGGUUGGAAAGUUUCGGCGGUUGGGGAUGGACUCGCGGCUUAUCAGCUUGUUGGUGGGGUAGUGGCUUACCAAGGCUUUGACGGGUAGCCGGCCUGAGAGGGUGACCGGCCACAUUGGGACUGAGAUACGGCACAGACUACUGCGGGAGGCAGCAGUGGGGAAUAUUGCACAAUGGGCGGAAGCCUGAUGCAGCAACGCCGCGUGCGGGAUGACGGCCUUCGGGUUGUAAACCGCUUUCGCCUGUGACGAAGCGUGAGUGACGGUAAUGGGUAAAGAAGCACCGGCUAACUACGUG
rnacentral:rRNA from 1 species